rnacentral:tRNA from 1 species
GGGGCCGUAGCUCAGCUGGUUAGAGCGUCGCCCUGUCACGGCGAAGGUCGCGGGUUCGAGUCCCGUCGGUCCCGCCA